GAUGAAGAACGUAGUGAAAUGCGCUAAGUAAUGUGAAUUGCAGAAUUCAGUGAAUCAUCGAAUCUUUGAACGCACAUUGCGCCCUCUGGGAUUCCGGGGGGCAUGCCUGUUCGAGCGUCAUUAUAACCACUCAAGCUCUCGCUUGGUAUUGGGGUUCGCGGUUCCGCGGCCCCUAAAAUCAGUGGCGGUGCCUGUCGGCUCUACGCGUAGUAAUACUCCUCGCGAUUGAGUCCGGUAGGUCUACUUGCCAGCAACCCCCAAUUUUUACAGGUUGACCUCGGAUCAGGUAGGGAUACCCGCUGAACUUAAGCAUAUCAAUAAGCGGAGGA
rnacentral:misc_RNA from 1 species